rnacentral:rRNA from 1 species
UACGUAGGGUGCAAGCGUUAAUCGGAAUUACUGGGCGUAAAGCGUGCGCAGGCGGUGAUGUGAGACAGGUGUGAAAUCCCCGGGCUUAACCUGGGAACUGCAUUUGUGACUGCAUCGCUGGAGUGCGGCAGAGGGGGAUGGAAUUCCGCGUGUAGCAGUGAAAUGCGUAGAGAUGUGGAGGAACACCGAUGGCGAAGGCAGCCCCCUGGGUCAAGAUUGACGCUCAUGCACGAAAGCGUGGGGAGCAAACAGG